GCAUACUACAGACGGGGCUGGUUGCCUAUUAUUAAGGUUGUCUGACACUUCCCAUUACAAGACUCUGUUUUCAGUUGCUCAGAGCUUUGCCAGGCCUUAACCAUUUGGAUUUAAAUUUUUCAUGCUGAGUGUCUGCCUCAGGCUGAAUAAUUUUAGAAAAUGUCAGGCAAAAUCAGAAAAAUGCAUAAAAAUUCUGACAACCUUUAUUUGAACAACUCUUUUGCCCCCUGUACUAUGCAGAAAGGGCCUGACAUCUGGCAAACAGACUGACCUUUGAGUCAAGGAUGAAAAUGCAGUGAAAGUCUUUAUGAAAACUUGCCGAAUCCCAAACUUACUAAGGUCUCAAACUUUUUCCCAAGCUGCAAAGUGCAUGGCUCAGGUGAGAUUUUGAUUGCAUCUACACUGGAUUCUGCUGUUGCAGGGUCCAAAAAUGUUCAUUGUCAUCACUGAAUAAAGAAAAACAACCCUACUUUUUUCUGUCAUUCUCAAGUCUGUAUGUACCUCUCUUUGACUUUACUUAAGCUAUGAUUGUUCCUUUUCCAUCCAUAUGGCCAGAGAGAAUUAUUUUUAUUAUUUUCAUUAUUAACCAUUUGAGAUGAUCCAUGCCUCACUCCCAGUUCUCACAUUAUUCCUGCAUUACUUGUUUACUAAGCUAAAGUUAUUGUCCUCCAUUCUGUAAGCAGUCUAUUAACUCCUAACAGUCAAGUCUGACGUUCCAAUUUAAGCCCUGACAACACAAUUCAGUUUUCAGCCCUGAUAAUGAAACUCAGCAGAGCAGAGUCCCCUAACAGUAACUUUAUAUUAGUUAGCAUAGCACUUAAUAAAAUGCUUAAAGUACCAUUUAUAUAAAUCGUCCUGCAGGCAUCUGAAGCAAAUAUGGCAUGAAGGACAAGAGAUCAUAGUGGUAAGCCACUUAAGUGGCCUUCUUAUAAAAUGGCAUUUUUGAGUAGGAAAAAGAGUGUCACACUUCUAUGGCAUCCUUUUGCCAUGUGGAAAAUUGUUGUAUUCCUGAGAUACCCCUUGAUUUUCCAGAUCUUGCAAUACUCCUGAAGUACAGAUGAAGUUCAAUAAUAAAUUCAGCUCUUUUGUGUAAAUCUCUGAGCUGGACAAAUUGCAAGUGAUGGAAGUAAAAGUCUCCCAGCAAUCAGUUACGAAAAGGAUGAUGAUUACAGCUGAGAUUCCUCCUCUAUGAGAAAACCAUCCCUUGGCCGACGGCACGGCUGCAUCUUGAAACAUCAAACACGGUGUUUAUGCAAAUCUCAGUGUUCUGCUUGUUCUGCUGCAAAAGCCAUUUUCGCAGUGACACAGAAGGAAAUCCAGUGAGACAAGGCCUGGGCCUGGAGGAGGUGAACUACCUGAGACCUACCAUGAACUACCUGAGCUGCCAUAUUCACAGGAGAUGUGAUGAAAAUCAGGCCGGCUCUUAUGAGCAGCUUAUAACUGUAUCUACACGUGUGCAUUUUUGUAAAUAUUUUAAAGACAGAGAUAGAGAGAGAGAACUCUAAAAAACAGCUCUUUCUGUGUCUUGGGACAAUAAUGGCUGAAUUUACAAUGAAACAGUGAUUGAUCUAAACAUGAUGUAAAAUAAAAUAUUGACCAUUCUAAUAAAAAAUGUUCCUAAGUCUCAGCAGGUUGCUUGGUUGCUUUCAGGUUGUAGUUCUCUGUCUCAGCCACAAUCUAGACUGCCUUGCUUAGUUUAGAGCUACAUCAAAUUACAGGGAAUGUGUUGUUGGCAAAAUCCUACUUGGAUCCCCAAUGCUAUUUUGUUUUUAAACAGCUUUUUGUUGCUUUCAGUUCUUUUUGUUGCUGUGUUCAAAUGUUAAUAUGGAUUCUCAGAUGACCAGGGAGAGUUGGAGACAAAAGAAAAAUUCCAUCAGAAUUAUAAAAGAAUCUGAUAUAUAAAGAGGCAAUUUUCCAUGGCAUUUGUAUUAAGUGAAUUAAGUAAAUUAAUCAUGGUCAACACUGUGUAACUGUGUCAUAGACCACUGGCUAAGAGCCUAAUCAGAAAACAAUAUACAGCUGAGUAAUAAAAUGGAGUAAUUAUUGCUUUGA